rnacentral:rRNA from 1 species
UACGUAGGGUCCGAGCGUUGUCCGGAAUUACUGGGCGUAAAGAGCUCGUAGGUGGUUUGUCGCGUUGUUCGUGAAAACUCACAGCUCAACUGUGGGCGUGCGGGCGAUACGGGCGAGACGUAGAGUACUGCAGGGGAGACUGGAAGUUCCGUGGUGUAGCGGUGGAAUGCGCAGAGUAUCGGGGAAGAACACCCGUGGCGAAGG